CCUACGGGAGGCAGCAGUGGGGAAUAUUGCACAGUGGGCGCAAGCCUGAUGCAGCCAUGCCGCGUGUGUGAAGAAGGCCUUCGGGUUGUAAAGCACUUUCAGCGGGGAGGAAGGCGUUAAGGUUAAUAACCUUGUCGAUUGACGUUACCCGCAGAAGAAGCACCGGCUAACUCCGUGCCAGCAGCCGCGGUAAUACGAAGGGUGCAAGCGUUAAUCGGAAUUACUGGGCGUAAAGCGCACGCAGGCGGUCUGUCAAGUCGGAUGUGAAAUCCCCGGGCUCAACCUGGGAACUGCAUUCGAAACUGGCAGGCUAGAGUCUUGUAGAGGGGGGUAGAAUUCCAGGUGUAGCGGUGAAAUGCGUAGAGAUCUGGAGGAAUACCGGUGGCGAAGGCGGCCCCCUGGACAAAGGCUGACGCUCAGGUGCGAAAGCGUGGGGAGCAAACAGGAUUAGAUACCCCUGUAGUC
rnacentral:rRNA from 1 species